rnacentral:rRNA from 1 species
AACGUAGGAGACAAACGUUAUCCGGAGUUACUGGGCUUAAAGGGCGCGUAGGCGGGUUGCCAAGUCCGGGGUGAAAGCCCCCAGCUCAACUGGGGAAGUGCCUUGGAUACUGGUAAUCUUGAGGGAGGUAGGGGCAUGCGGAACUUCCGGUGGAGCGGUGAAAUGCGUAGAUAUCGGAAGGAACGCCGGUGGCGAAAGCGGCGUGCUGGACCUCUUCUGACGCUGAGGCGCGAAAGCCAGGGGAGCAAACGGG